rnacentral:rRNA from 1 species
UACGUAGGGGGCUAGCGUUGUCCGGAAUCAUUGGGCGUAAAGCGCGCGUAGGCGGCCCGGUAAGUCCGCUGUGAAAGUCCAGGGCUCAACCCUGGAAAGCCGGUGGAUACUGCCGGGCUAGAGUCCGGGAGAGGCGAGUGGAAUUCCUGGUGUAGCGGUGGAAUGCGCAGAUAUCAGGAGGAACACCGAUUGCGAAGGCAGCUCGCUGGGACGUUACUGACGCUGAGACGCGAAAGCGUGGGGAGCGAACAGG